UACGUAGGGUGCAAGCGUUGUCCGGAAUUAUUGGGCGUAAAGAGCGUGUAGGCGGCCCGAUCAGUCCGCUGUGAAAGUCCAGGGCUCAACCCUGGGAUGCCGGUGGAUACUGUCAGGCUAGAGUCCGGAAGGGGCGAGUGGAAUUCCGUGGUGUAGCGGGUGAAAUGCGCAGAUAUCAGGAGGAACACCAAUGGCGAAGGCAGCUCGCUGGGACGUGACUGACGCUGAGACGCGAAAAGCGUGGGGGAGCGAAACAGG
rnacentral:rRNA from 1 species